rnacentral:sRNA from 1 species
GCAAAGUCAGAAAAAUUUCACGUCACAGCAAGGCGGCAAACGAGCCCAUUCCGCAGAACUAGCAUAC